GCAAAUACAGAUGGAUACUGUCUCAAUUGGGCUCUACUAUGAGUAUUAACUUCUCACUUGACCACGAAUUCUGUAGGUGGGAAUGUCUUAGUGAACUAACUAACUACGGAGUAGUUGGUUAUCUUUCAGUCAGUGGGCGAGGUAAGGUAAGCAAGCCAUCAGCUGUCCGGAUAAUGACGUGACCUCGUGCGUAUUGAACAUUGAGUCAAAAUUACCAUCUGGCACAUGUAUCCGUCACUCCACGCACGUACAAAGCAAGAUCAUACGUAUAUACGGAGUCCUCCGUCCUCGCCUUCAUUUACGUAGUAUGACAAGAACACGAUCGUCAGGUACAAGAUAGAUGGUACCUUGAACGACCAUCAGAACUCAGAACCCGUUGAUCAACAACUCUAUCUCAGUCAGGAGAUUGCCUGCCCGGAAGACGAUCCCAGGCCCCCCCAAUUCGCCCACAAAACACGCGCAGUAAUGUAUUGGUUCCAGUCAGCACGCACACCCCCAAUCAUCCUUUUUCGAUCUUCUUAACCGCCCUUUCGCUGUACGCUGUACAACAUGUAACUCCGUACAGGCUAUAUCAAUUAGCGGAGAAUUUUAGCCUGUUCUACAAAAUCUAGAUCAUCUCUCAGGACUGGAGUGAAACAUAACUGCGAGAAAAACGUCAUUGUUUGUUCCAGCUGAUCCACGUUGAUCUCUCAUUGGAAUGAAUGGGCUCAUUCCGUGUUUUAUAUAAUCCCUCAUACAUUUCACUGAUUCAAUGUUUAGUCUCGUCGGCUUAAAGACCAAAUGUUCUCCUGUAUGACGUACGUGUCAUCAAUUUUUUUUUAAAAAAAAAAAUUUUUUGACUCAGAUAAUUAAAAAAAAAAAAGAAAGAAAAAAAUGAAACUUUUUCUGUUCUGCCCAACCGGUUACUCAAGGAAGAAAAUCAUAUGCAGCUGUCUCGUACGGAUACACGGCAGUGGAUGAAACCAAAACACUCCGUACGCAUUUUACCUUAUGAAAGCAACCCGCAAAAUUCGUCGCGAACGAUUCAGGAGAGGAUGCCCGUGGAUACGGGUUUGACGUCAUAUGAUGAACUGAACUGACAGAUGGGGGAAGCUUGGAAAAAUUUGCUCGUUUAACACGGUCAUUAGUCAUUGCUUCGUUCAAGGGAUUGAUGGAUGCAGUGAAUUGGCCAGGUUGUGCUACCUGACACAGGUUUGCCGGCUGAUGUUGGAGUCGGACUCCGAAGGGAUCUUCUUGCUACUACGUAAUAGAUAGAUAGUUAGUUGGGCCUCGGCUUAUAUC
rnacentral:lncRNA from 1 species